UUUUGGGAUAGCAUUGGAAAUGUAAAUGAAGAAAAUACCUAAUUAAAAUAAUUAAAAAAUAUUUUUUCCAAAAAGAUCUUUUUCAUCUUACGUGUACUUGACCAAAGCAAAUCAUACUUAUGUGUAAAAUGUAAAUGGAGAAAUGAAGAUUUCUUUUUGCAUCCUCUGAAAAAGCCACUCAGAGUGUGGCCUAGAGCUUCUAAUACACCCUACGGUUUAUGAAAAACUGUUGUAUUUUUAAUCCCAGGAAAAGAAUGCUUCUUUGUAGUUCAUUCCUCUGCGUAUAGCACUUUUCUCCUUAUUAUGUUCUCACCUACACACUUUUACAAAUACUCAUCUACUGUGAAGUUUGGUGGCUGACUUAGCCCUUCAUUUGGAGACACACAACUUCAUUACUCUUGGUGAAUUCAGUGUUCUUAUAAAGGAUCAUUGAUCACUGAACACUAAAGCUUCUUGAAAUCAUGUAUAGAUACCUUUAAAAUGCCUGUUACAGUUAUGUUGUAAUUAUUGUUACAUCAGAACCACACUACUUCUUAAAUCAAUACUAUAUAAAUUCAAGCCUGUGUCUUGCUUAUGUAGGUAACUCCACCAUUCAAUACCAGUUUGAUUAUAGCAGAUCCACAAGUCGAUGGGUCAUUUGGUCUAUUCCUUAUAUUUCUCCCUACCCAGUGUACUUUCCAGGACUGACUGUUGCUACUACCUCUAAGGCUAAAUUCAACUUAGCAGUGUUUCACAGCACCUGACCUUCUGUUUCACUGUCCUUAUAAAUGCAUACUAGAAUCAAGAAUGUCAGUCAGAUGGGAAGAAUAAAUCUCUAUAAAGUACACUCGGAUAUCUCAAGUACUGUGGUAAGUUCCCAACAGAGUCAUAGUAGCCUCCACUCUCUAUUAUAUGCUGCAAUGGUGUUCUGAAUUUCCCCUUCUACUCCCUCCAUCCUGUAGUUCGUGAUGAAGUUAGGGGGAAAAAAAAAGAAAGAAAACCUCCCUAUACUGUAGAGCUACUCUUCUAUUUUAAAUAGAGAGUACUGUGUCAGAAUGUUUUUCCUUAGCCUGUCAUCACCACGUGGACAAGCAGUGCUAGAUUUUCAUGUAUUUCUUCCUCCUUCUUGAUGUGAUCAAGAACUUGGACAUCUCUACAUGGUGUGCCAUUUUUUUCCUUUUGAUUUUGUUUUAAAUUUUAUGUUCAGGAAUUUGUGUAGCUCAUCUCUUUUUCUCUUUUAAAGACAUCAGCCUUUUCUUUACUGAUUCAUUCUUAUUAUUAUUUUAAAUUAUAAGGUUUUAAUUAAAUAAUAUAAUUUCUUUAUCUGCCACCUAGUGUUUUAGCUGACUCUUUUAGGUAAUUUUUUUAUUAUUAUUAUUUCAUUGGGUUCACUGUCUAUUACUAUGAAUUAAUACCAUGCCCAAAAUAUUUUAAUAUUUUAUCUAUCUAUCUACCUAUCAUCUAUCUAUCCAUCUAUGAAUCAAUAAAUAUAUCUGUUCUCUCUAUCUCUGAUCACUUCUUGAUUACUCUUUUCUAUUUUUUUGGAAUAUACUUUUCCAUUAGCAUUGGGAGAACUGUGUUAAGUUACUUCAAGGUUACAUACUCAAUACAGU
rnacentral:lncRNA from 1 species